rnacentral:rRNA from 1 species
UCGAAGGUAGCAUAAUCAGUAGUUUUUUAAUUGAAAACUUGUAUGAAUGGUUGAACGAAAUAUUUUCUGUUUCAUAAUAAUAAUAAUAGAAUUUUAUUUUUAAGUUAAAAAGCUUAAAUGAAAUUUAAAGACGAGAAGACCCUAUAGAGUUUUAUAUAUUUAUUUAAUUAAUUUAUUUAUAAUAAUUAAAAUUUUUUAAAUUGAUAUAUUUUGUUGGGGUGACAAUAAAAUUUAAUAAACUUUUAUUAUUUUUUUACAUUGAUUUUUGAAUUAUUGAUCCAGUUAUAUUGAUUAAAAGAUUAAAUUACCUUAGGGAUAACAGCGUAAUUUUUUUUUAGAGUUCUUAUCGAUAAAAAAUUUUGCGACCUCGAUGUUGGAUUAA